GAUGAACGCUGGCGGCGUGCGUAACACAUGCAAGUUGAACGACGGUGUCAUGAAGUGGUAACACGGAAUGGCAUACGGAGUAGCGGACGGGUGAGUACAACAUGAGAAGCUGUCCUUCAGUGGGGGACAACGUCUGGAAGCGGACGCUAAUACCCCAUAGGCCGAGAGGUUAAAGCAGAGAUGCGCUGGAGGAGGUGCUCGUGCCCUAUCAGCUGGUUGGUGAGGUAACGGCUCACCAAGGCGACGACGGGUAGCCGGCCUGAGAGGGUGAACGGCCACACUGGAACUGAGAUACGGUCCAGACUCCUACGGGAGGCAGCAGUGGGGAAUAUUGGGCAAUGGGAGAAAUCCUGACCCAGCGACGCCGCGUGAACGAUGAAGGCCUUAGGGUUGUAAAGUUCUUUUAUGUGGGAAGAAGGAAGUGACGGUACCACAUGAAUAAGCCCCG
rnacentral:rRNA from 1 species